UAUUAAUAUAAUUAUAUCUUACAGUAAAUUAUGUCAUUCUAAUUCGAUCUGUAGAUGAAUGUGGGAGUGAAUGUGGAAGUGAAACUGUACAUUCAACCGAGGAAGACGUUGUUGAGUUUUGGAAAGAAUCUAAAGAGGAAAUUGUUGAUGACAUUGAAAUAUCGCCUCCCCAUUUAGAGCAGUGCAAUGACAUACAAGAUAAAAAUAUGCUUGUCAUGGUAACCUGGAUAACAGCUCUUUUGAAAUUUAUGAGACGUUCUUAUGGACUCUCAGAUGCAGCUAUUGGAACCUUAUUGAAGGUUUUGUUUGGGGUAUUGGGAAAAAUAUCACACCCAUGUUCGGUCAUAGCAAAAUGUCUACCACCUUCUCUCUACAUCCACCUUCUCUCCACCUUCUCUCUACAUGUUACAACAAAAAAAUCAAAACAAUUUUGCAGAUAUGUUGUUUGCCAAAAUGUGACUCUGUGUAUAAGUUUGAAGAAUGCAAAGAAGUUUGGAAUGCAAGCAUCUAUACGUACGAUAUCCCAAUCAUCCCCAGGUCAGAAUGAAGCUACUAUACCCCAACGUCACAUAUUGCUAUUUAAGUCUUCAAAAUUCUUUGCAAAAUUUAGAUCCUCAUUCGUAACCGACACUGAGCUUUGGCGUUUAAGAAAAGUUCCUCGUGACACACUGCAAGACGUAUACGACGGAGAUAUCUAGAAAAAGUUUCUUGUGUAUAAUGGUACUUCGUUUUUAUCUAGUCCUCUUUGCUUUGCAUUUACAAUUAAUUUGGACUGGUUUAGACCGUCUAUUGGAGUCAGUUAAAUCAGCUCUGGCUGGUCGACUUCGGCAGUGGGUGUAUGUGUACUAUGUGUACUAUAGUUAUAGUGAGCAUUGUGGGUCCCUGUGUCAGUUAAAUCAGGUCGACUUCGGCAGUGGGUGUGUGUACUAUAGUUAUAGUGAGCAUUGUGGGCAUUGUGGGUCCCUGUGUCAGUUAAAUCAGCUCUGGCUGGUCGACUUCGGCAGUGGGUGUAUGUGUACAAUAUAUAGUUAUAGUGAGCAUUGUGGGUCCCUGUGUCAGUUAAAUCAGCUCUGGCCGGUCGACUUCGGCAGUGGGUGUGUGUACUAUAGUUAUAGUGAGCAUUAUGUGUCCCCGUGUCUAGCUGCAUGGCUAGCAGCGUCCUAAUAAUAAUUAUGUCGUUGACUCGUUUUGUUUAUUGUGUAAGUGAACAGUGCUUAGUUGUUUCUUUUCUACAGUUUGUAAUGGAACCUAUUCAUUGAAUUGUCACACCGGUCGAGACGUCACAAGUCUGCAUGCCUGGAAUAAUUAAUUAUGUUCAUUGUUGACACUUUACAUUACACUAUAAAUGAUAUGUUUUCUCAACAAUUUAAAUUUGCGCUUGCUUCCUGACAGCGCUGAGUCAAGCGCCGCAUACAAUCACGACACAUCAAGUAUAGAUAGAACAACUGCAACUGGUCUGCACCAACUGUAUAUAUUAUAUAUACGCUAUGUGGUAUGUAAAGUAGAUGAAAUAUAGGCGUCUGCACUGCAGUACAGUACAUGUAUAGGCCAUGUGACAUGUCAAGUAGAUUAAAUAUGGAACAACAUGCCAUCUGCAGUGUAGUACAGUACAUGUAUAUAGGCCAUGUGACAUGUAAGUAGAUGAAAUAUAGAACAACAUGCCAUCUGCAGUACGCCAUGUGGCAUGUCAAGUACCGAAAAGCAGCAUUAUACAUAGCAUUUCCAUUACUAUGAAUUCAUGACGAAAUGUCGGAAAUCAGCAGGAAACGACCACCUAUAUGCCAUACACUGAUCCUGUAUUUCAAGAAGUACAGGAAGUACAGGAAAUUCAAUUUUUGGUCCAGUGCAGAUAUUUUAGAUUCAUCAAAUGUACGGACUAUCCCUUGCAAAAUAUGUCACCGCUGAUGAGAUGGCCUUGGCCUGUCUUCUGAUGGCAAAGACGAACCAAACCCAAGUGCGACGCCAAACACCAAGGAGGAUAUUCCAUUGCUAAUGAUGAUAAUAAUAUAAUUAUGUGUGGAAAAUGUGUGGAAAAAAUGUUUUGCUUACAAGUUUUGCUUACAAGUUACUUCGUUUGUACUAUGUACUGUAAACUGUUAUCUGUAGAGUGUACUGUCCAAAUUUUCUUGCAAUGGUGCUCUUUAUAAUGGUGCUCUUUAUUUCAAAAAAUUUACCUGAAAGUUCAAAGGUCAUGAUGCGCUUGAUGGGCUUCAUAAAUUGAUGGGCUUCAUAAAGUGUCUUCUAUCUACUACUGCAGCAAGAUAUGAUUUAUACAUGUACAUGUACUUACGGUAUUGUAACGUCAAAGCUUAUAUUGUUUUUGAUUCUAUCCAUUACUGGUGCCAACUAGGAGCAUAUGAAAAGAAUCUCACAGGUAGGGAGGGAUAGCAGCAUAUAAACAAUUUUAGGAUAUUCUGGGAAGUCCUAGGUGGUUACAUUGAGAUGUCCCUUGAUAUGUCCCUUGAUAUGUCCCUCAGCACUGUGCUCAGUUAAUAUAUACCCACCUGAGCCUGUGAUCAUAUGCAAUGUAGUCUUUUGUAAGUCUUUAAAGUUAAAGCUGCUGUACAACUCAGUGAUCUCUAUGGAUUACUUCAAUCUUAAGUUUCCGUCUUCUCUAGUGUUUGGUCUGAUUUAGAAUUAAUGGUAUACGAGAAUUAAUAUGCAGCAACUUCGAGCAGGCUACUUAUGGUACUUGUGAAUUAAUUGAGCUACUUCACGUAGCGGAGUUGAGGUGUGAUGAAGAGGAUGUGGAGCUGUCUGAGUUGCUUGUGACCCUUUUUAAGGAACGAUACCCUUCUAUAUACAUUGGUUGACCAAGCUGGUGUCACGGUCAUUCUACUACUCUUCCCACCAAUGUUGCCAUCAAUGUAAGUAUAUAGUAUAUAGUAGCAAGAGUAAGAGAGUAGCAAGAGUAAGAGCGAUGAAGAGCAAGGUUAGUAGUAGGUAGCAAUGAAGCAAGUGACAGCUGGAAUGUAGACCGCAAAGUUGCAUGUUGUUGACAGGG